rnacentral:rRNA from 1 species
AGUGAACGCUGGCGGUAGGCUUAACACAUGCAAGUCGAACGAGUGGCGGACGGGUGAGGAAUACAUCGGAAACUACCCUGUCGUGGGGGAUAACGAAGGGAAACUUACGCUAAUACCGCAUACGAUUGAAUGAGCCGAUGUCGGAUUAGCUAGUUGGCGGGGUAAAGGCCCACCAAGGCGACGAUCCGUAGCUGGUCUGAGAGGCUGAUCAGCCACACUGGACCUGAGACACGGUCCAGACUCCUACGGGAGGCAGCGGUGGGGAAUAUUGGACAAUGGGCACAGUCCUGAUCCAGCCAUACCGCGUGGGUGAAGAAGGCCUCCGGGUUGUAAAGCCCUUUUGUUGGGAAAGCGGUACCCAAAUAAUAAGCACCGGCUAACUUCGUGCCAGCAGCCGCGGUAAUAC